GGGCAGCAAGAACCAAGCGGGAAGCGAGCAGCCGCUCUUCUCCCUGGGCUUUGAGGCCGGCUACGCGCAGCAGCCGCAGCCCGAGGAGUCUCCAGGAAGGCAGCAGAUCUGUUAUUAGGAGCUCAAGUGAAGCAGCAGCUAAGUCAAAGGA